rnacentral:rRNA from 1 species
GAUGAACGCUGGCGGCGUGCUCAACACAUGCAAGUCGAACGAUGAAGCCCAGCUUGCUGGGUGGAUUAGUGGCGAACGGGUGAGUAACACGUGAGUAACCUGCCCUUGACUCUGGGAUAAGCCUGGGAAACUGGGUCUAAUACUGGAUAUGACUUCUCAUCGCAUGGUGGGGGGUGGAAAGAUUUAUUGGUCUUGGAUGGACUCGCGGCCUAUCAGCUUGUUGGUGAGGUAAUGGCUCACCAAGGCGACGACGGGUAGCCGGCCUGAGAGGGUGACCGGCCACACUGGGACUGAGACACGGCCCAGACUCCUACGGGAGGCAGCAGUGGGGAAUAUUGCACAAUGGGCGCAAGCCUGAUGCAGCGACGCCGCGUGAGGGAUGACGGCCUUCGGGUUGUAAACCUCUUUCAGUAGGGAAGAAGCGAGAGUGACGGUACCUGCAGAAGAAGCGCCGGCUAACUACGUG